rnacentral:rRNA from 1 species
CGUAGGGGGCAAGCGUUGUCCGGAAUCAUUGGGCGUAAAGCGCGCGUAGGCGGCCCCGUAAGUCCGCUGUGAAAGUCAAAGGCUCAACCUUUGAAAGCCGGUGGAUACUGUGGGGCUAGAGUCCGGAAGAGGCGAGUGGAAUUCCUGGUGUAGCGGUGGAAUGCGCAGAUAUCAGGAGGAACACCAAUAGCGAAGGCAGCUCGCUGGGACGGUACUGACGCUAAGGCGCGAAAGCGUGGGGAGCGAACAGG